GCAGUUUCUGGAUUUUAUCAAAAAUUCUAACUUUUAAGUCAAACUUUUCAUUUCAGCUUUUGGGUUCCUUUUGUUUCAGCUUGUUUUAUUUGAUUUCUAAAAAAGAUAUAAUUUUGUUGGCGUGUUUAAAGAAAAAGGUUUUAAUUUUUCUUUUCAAUAAACUUUUGGUGAAGAAUAACCGAAGCUUUUACCUCAGUGAUGGUACCCUUGAUGAGAAUUUUUAUGUGUUUCUAUGUAAAGGUUUACUAUAUCUGUAUUUUUUCUCUGCUUUGAAUAUGUAGUAGUGAUUAUGUGUCAAGUGUGUUAUAAUCCUCUUGAUUCUGGUCGAUUUGAAAAAAAAAGUGUCUAUAUUCAAUGUACUUACGAGUAUUACUUUGGUUUUUGGUUUUGGGUGUACACAUUCAAUGUAUCACAUGCAAAUUUUAGUUAGUUAACAUACCCCUACCUACCCAUGUCAGGUUCUAUAUAGACUAAUUUUUUGUAAUAAUAAUGUAAAAAGUGACAGGUGCGCAGAAUCGGUAAGUGAACCAUGUAACUAUGAUUAAGAGUUUAUAUUGAUUCUGUCAAUGUUAACACCAACAAGUUGUUCUAACUAUUUUGGUGGCUAAAACAUUGUGAUUAGAAAAGUUGUAAAUUCAGAUCUACAUCUUUGAAAUUUAAGUUUUACCAAGAACCUUCUGGUUUUGAUUAGUUAAACAUGUGUUUUUAAAGUCCAAGGUUGUAGACAAACCAUUCAAGGGGGAAAGGGGUUGUUUUUUUUAAUCUUGUCAAAGGAUUCCCUAACAAGAGACUUGUGCUGCUGUGGCUAUUGGCUUCUGAAGAGUUUCGCUGCGAAAUUUUGAUACCAUUGCGUAUAUGGCUGUGGCUUUUACCAAUCUCUCGUGGUGGUUGUGGAGUGGAAAACAUCAGGAGCCAGGGAUCCCAAAUGGCUCUUCUAAAAAUUCUUCGGCCGAUCCGAAUGUGUGGGAAUCAGAUAUUUUGAGGUUUCCUUUGGUUAUGCAGGAAAAUCUAGGUUCCUCGUCAAGAAGGGUGAAGCGCAAAUGGCAUAGUAGGGAAGAGCGAAAGGUAGAUAGGGAAUAUGAUGUUGUUCUAGUUCCGUCUGAUGGUGGGUGUGUUUCCGGUUCCGAAUCCGAUGAUUCUGAUUGGUCAAUUGGCUGGUCAGAACCUCUUGGACCUGGCUUCCCAAGCGAUGAUGAAGCCGAUAACAGUUUCGCUGUUCUGGUUCCCUGUUAUGGAAGAGAUUAUGGUAGAAUGGUGCAGGAUCCAAGAAGAAACUUGCCAAAUGGUGCUGGGAACUUUCCAAAUAGUUAUUCAGAUGGUAAGAGCACUUCCAUUAGCAUCUACUAGAGUUACCUUUGUGCUGGGUUGAAAUUGAUUUUCUCAAAGACUUCAAUUUUUUUACCGAAGCUGUGCAUGUAAAAACGAUUUCAGAGCUCAGUUCUAAGCAUUGGUUCUUUAUUUUUAACAUCAUAGAAGUUCACACUUUAGACCCAACAAGAUGUUUUGUUAAGCAUAUCAUUUUGCAGUUAAUGUUACAUCUGAUUUAUUUCGUCUAUGAGAAUGGAAGAUAUUUCGUUUUGAUAUGAAUGAAGAUAAGCAAAUAUCUUAGCAAUCUUGCUUGACACCUUUAUAUUUAAGGACCAUGAGAGGCAAAUGUAAUUUGGACAAAACUUAGGUCUUGUUAUGUGUUGCAGUUAUUACUUAUUACACAUUUUACAUUUUCAUUGAUGAGUUGUUAAACAUGUUAGGUUCAUAUUGGAAAACAACACUACAAAUACCAACACCUAAGCAGAGAGCAUGAAACAUGUGGAAAAUUGGCUCUCGUCUCUUCGAAAUACCUGAUGCACAAACAUUCCUCAUUUGGCGUGGUUCACCGUGAGAAAAAUUCUGGUGUGAUAUAGACAAUAACAAUGUAUAUUGUAAAUAUUGUGUAAAAAACACUAUGAUGCUGAUUUCAAAAAAAUAUGAUUGGUAAGCCUUGGAUCAUGGUUAAUACAAUUCUGAGGAGCAAAUAUGAUCAAAGAAUAAAGCAGCUGUGAUACUUAAUUACUAUCCGAUAAUGAUGUACGAGCUUCGACUAAUGUUAGAGAAUCGAAACAUUGAUUUGUGGUGGAAUCGGGAGAGGAGAACGGUAUGGAUAAGUGCGUGUUGGAAUAUGGCUCUGGAGCUUACAAUUCAUUGAUGUAAAAAAAUAUGUAAAAUUAUCUUUGUAGAUAUUGGAAUUGGUUGGAUGUUCAAUUAUGUACUCAAUUUUGUACAUAACCUUGUAUAUAGAUUUUGUAUUGCAUGGGUUUAUGUACAUGUGUGCUUUUGGCAUGGGUGUAGAGUUAAAUUGACACAUUUUUGUAUAGUUCCUCAAGUAAUGAAAAGUCUCUACACACCUAUUGCAUACUACUGUCUAGCAUUCUAUUGGAUUUUUUUCAUGUGGUUUUUGUUUGUUUUUUAGUGAAAUGGGC
rnacentral:lncRNA from 1 species